CCUACGGGAGGCAGCAGUGGGGAAUAUUGCGCAAUGGGGGAAACCCUGACGCAGCGACGCCGCGUGAGCGAUGAAGGUCUUCGGAUCGUAAAGCUCUAUCAGCAGGGAAGAAAGUGCCGUUACCUAAUUAACAAGCACCUGCUAAAUACGUGCCAGCAGCCGCGGUAAUACGUCGGGCGCAAGCGUUAUCCGGUUUUACUGGGCGUAAAGAUCGCGUAGGCGGGAUAGCAAGUCACGUGUGAAAUCCCCUGGCUUAACCAUAGAACUGCAUUUGAAACUGGUAUACUAGAGUGUGUGAGAGGAAAGUGGAAUUCCUGGUGUAGGAGUGAAAUCCGUAGAUAUCUAGAGGAACAUCAGUGGCGAAGGCGACUUUCUAGAACAUAACUGACGCUGAUGCGCGAAAGCGUGGGGAGCAAACAGGAUUAGAUACCCGUGUAGUC
rnacentral:rRNA from 1 species